UUCCAGGAAUGGUUUGCUUCUAAGGCUGCUGCUUUUUUUUUUAUCUUAUCGACUGUGUACACAAGAAGCCACAGUUCAAAUUUGGAGCUGGUUGUGGGUAAACCCAAGGUCAGAUCUGCAGCCAAGUCACGCCUCACAAUUAUGGGACAGUGUCUCUCUACACAGCCCUGGCCAGCCUUGAACUGUGUCUCCCAAACUAGCGUCAAACUCAGAGUGAUCCCCCUUCCUCUCUUUCCUGAAUGCUGAGAUCACAGACAGUGAGAAGAGAAUAAAAUAUCACCUGGAAGCAGAAAGCAGUAAAACAUGUGAAGACCCCAUUUUCACCACAGCUAAGGACUAGUUUCACUCGAGCUCUGAAGGAAAGAUGGAGGCAGGAGAAGUAGGAUUGAGGAAAGAGAUGUGGUAAGAAGUGGU
rnacentral:lncRNA from 1 species